rnacentral:rRNA from 1 species
UAAGGAAUAUUGCUCAAUGGGAGAAAUCCUGAAGCAGCAACGCCGCGUGGAGGAUGAAGGGUCUAUGACUUGUAAACUCCUGUAAAGAAGGAAAAAAUUCCCAUUUGAUGGGAGAUGAUGGUACUUCUGGAGUAAGCCCCGGCUAACUACGUGCCAGCAGCCGCGGUAAUACGUAGGGGGCAAGCGUUGUCCGGAUUUACUGGGUGUAAAGGGUGCUCAGGCGGAUUUGUAAGUCAGAGGUGAAAUCUUACAGCUUAACUGUGAAACUGCCUUUGNUACUGCAAGCCUAGAGUAUGGAAGAGAGUGAUGGAAUAUCUGGUGUAGCAGUGAAAUGCGUAGAUAUCAGAUAGAACACCAAUGGCGAAGGCAGUCACUUGGUCCAUUACUGACGCUAAAGCACGAAAGCGUGGGUAGCAAACA